rnacentral:rRNA from 1 species
UACGAAGGGGGCUAGCGUUGUUCGGAAUUACUGGGCGUAAAGCGCACGUAGGCGGAUGUUUAAGUUAGGGGUGAAAUCCCAGGGCUCAACCCUGGAACUGCCUCUAAUACUGGGCAUCUAGAGUCCGAGAGAGGUGAGUGGAAUUCCGAGUGUAGAGGUGAAAUUCGUAGAUAUUCGGAGGAACACCAGUGGCGAAGGCGGCUUACUGGCUCGGUACUGACGCUGAGGUGCGAAAGCGUGGGAGCAAACAGG